rnacentral:rRNA from 1 species
ACCAGACUUGCCCUCCAAUUGUACUCGUUAAGGGAUUUAAAUUGUACUCAUUCCAAUUACAAGACCCAAAAGAGCCCUGUAUCAGUAUUUAUUGUCACUACCUCCCCGUGUCGGGAUUGGGUAAUUUGCGCGCCUGCUGCCUUCCUUGGAUGUGGUAGCCGUUUCUCAGGCUCCCUCUCCGGAAUAGAACCCUAAUUCCCCGUUACCCGUUGAAACCAUUGUAAGCCAAGACCUUACAAUCGAAAGUUGAUAGGGCAGAAAUUUGAAUGAACCAUCGCCGGCACAAGGCCAUGCGAUUCGUUAAGUUAUUAUGAAUCACCAGAGAGCCCCGAAGGGCAUUGGUUUUUUAUCUAAUAAAUACACCCCUUCCGAAGUCGGGGUUUUUAGCAUGUAUUAGCUCUAGAAUUACCACGGUUAUCCAAGUAGUAAGGUACUAUCAAAUAAACGAUAACUGAUUUAAUGAGCCAUUCGCAGUUUCACCGUAUAGAUUGCUUAUACUUAGACAUGCAUGGCUUAAUCUUUGAGACAAGCAUAUGACUACUGGCAGGAUCAACCAG